AGCGAACGCUAGCGGCAGGCCUAACACAUGCAAGUCGAACGGACCCUUCGGGGUUAGUGGCGGACGGGUGAGUAACACGUGGGAACGUGCCUUUAGGUUCGGAAUAGCUCCUGGAAACGGGUGGUAAUGCCGAAUGUGCCCUUCGGGGGAAAGAUUUAUCGCCUUUAGAGCGGCCCGCGUCUGAUUAGCUAGUUGGUGAGGUAAUGGCUCACCAAGGCGACGAUCAGUAGCUGGACUGAGAGGAUGACCAGCCACACUGGGACUGAGACACGGCCCAGACUCCUACGGGAGGCAGCAGUGGGGAAUCUUGCGCAAUGGGCGAAAGCCUGACGCAGCCAUGCCGCGUGAAUGAUGAAGGUCUUAGGAUUGUAAAAUUCUUUCACCGGGGACGAUAAUGACGGUACCCGGAGAAGAAGCCCCGGCUAACUUCGUGCCAGCAGCCGCCGUAA
rnacentral:rRNA from 1 species